rnacentral:rRNA from 1 species
GAUGAACGCUGGCGGCGUGCCUAAUACAUGCAAGUCGAGCGAACAGACGAGGAGCUUGCUCCUCUGACGUUAGCGGCGGACGGGUGAGUAACACGUGGAUAACCUACCUAUAAGACUGGGAUAACUUCGGGAAACCGGAGCUAAUACCGGAUAAUAUAUUGAACCGCAUGGUUCAAUAGUGAAAGACGGUUUUGCUGUCACUUAUAGAUGGAUCCACGCCGCAUUAGCUAGUUGGUAAGGUAACGGCUUACCAAGGCAACGAUGCGUAGCCGACCUGAGAGGGUGAUCGGCCACACUGGAACUGAGACACGGUCCAGACUCCUACGGGAGGCAGCAGUAGGGAAUCUUCCGCAAUGGGCGAAAGCCUGACGGAGCAACGCCGCGUGAGUGAUGAAAGUCUUCGGAUCGUAAAACUCUGUUAUUAGGGAAGAACAAAUGUGUAAGUAACUAUGCACGUCUUGACGGUACCUAAUCAGAAAGCCACGGCUAACUACGUG